rnacentral:rRNA from 3 species
CUGCGGCAGCGACGCUUAUGCGUUGUUGGGUAGGGGAGCGUUCUGUAAGCCUGCGAAGGUGGCCUGUGAGGGUUGCUGGAGGUAUCAGAAGUGCGAAUGCUGACAUAAGUAACGAUAAAGCGGGUGAAAAGCCCGCUCGCCGGAAGACCAAGGGUUCCUGUCCAACGUUAAUCGGGGCAGGGUGAGUCGACCCCUAAGGCGAGGCCGAAAGGCGUAGUCGAUGGGAAACGGGUUAAUAUUCCCGUACUUGGUGUUACUGCGAAGGGGGGACGGAGAAGGCUAUGUUGGCCGGGCGACGGUUGUCCCGGUUUAAGCGUGUAGGUGUGUGUUCCAGGUAAAUCCGGUUCACUUUAACACUGAGGCGUGACGACGAGGCACUACGGUGCUGAAGCAACAAAUGCCCUGCUUCCAGGAAAAGCCUCUAAGCAUCAGGUAACAUCAAAUCGUACCCCAAACCGACACAGGUGGUCAGGUAGAGAAUACCAAGGCGCUUGAGAGAACUCGGGUGAAGGAACUAGGCAAAAUGGUGCCGUAACUUCGGGAGAAGGCACGCUGACACGUAGGUGAAGUGAUUUACUCAUGGAGCUGAAGUCAGUCGAAGAUACCAGCUGGCUGCAACUGUUUAUUAAAAACACAGCACUGUGCAAACACGAAAGUGGACGUAUACGGUGUGACGCCUGCCCGGUGCCGGAAGGUUAAUUGAUGGGGUCAGCGCAAGCGAAGCUCCUGAUCGAAGCCCCGGUAAACGGCGGCCGUAACUAUAACGGUCCUAAGGUAGCGAAAUUCCUUGUCGGGUAAGUUCCGACCUGCACGAAUGGCGUAAUGAUGGCCAGGCUGUCUCCACCCGAGACUCAGUGAAAUUGAACUCGCUGUGAAGAUGCAGUGUACCCGCGGCAAGACGGAAAGACCCCGUGAACCUUUACUAUAGCUUGACACUGAACAUUGAGCCUUGAUGUGUAGGAUAGGUGGGAGGCUUUGAAGUGUGGACGCCAGUCUGCAUGGAGCCGACCUUGAAAUACCACCCUUUAAUGUUUGAUGUUCUAACGUGGACCCGUUACCCGGGUUGCGGACAGUGUCUGGUGGGUAGUUUGACUGGGGCGGUCUCCUCCUAAAGAGUAACGGAGGAGCACGAAGGUUGGCUAAUCCUGGUCGGACAUCAGGAGGUUAGUGCAAUGGCAUAAGCCAGCUUGACUGCGAGCGUGACGGCGCGAGCAGGUGCGAAAGCAGGUCAUAGUGAUCCGGUGGUUCUGAAUGGAAGGGCCAUCGCUCAACGGAUAAAAGGUACUCCGGGGAUAACAGGCUGAUACCGCCCAAGAGUUCAUAUCGACGGCGGUGUUUGGCACCUCGAUGUCGGCUCAUCACAUCCUGGGGCUGAAGUAGGUCCCAAGGGUAUGGCUGUUCGCCAUUUAAAGUGGUACGCGAGCUGGGUUUAGAACGUCGUGAGACAGUUCGGUCCCUAUCUGCCGUGGGCGCUGGAGAACUGAGGGGGGCUGCUCCUAGUACGAGAGGACCGGAGUGGACGCAUCACUGGUGUUCGGGUUGUCAUGCCAAUGGCACUGCCCGGUAGCUAAAUGCGGAAGAGAUAAGUGCUGAAAGCAUCUAAGCACGAAACUUGCCCCGAG